rnacentral:lncRNA from 1 species
GUGAUCCACCAGCCUCGGCCUCACAAAGUGCUGGGAUUACAGGUAUGAGCCACCACGCCCAGCCUGCAAACAUAUGUUGAACUCUUUGCACAGUGCCCUGCAUGAGAUAGAUGACAGCUCCUUCUUCCAUGUUGUUAAUUUGGUGUGAGUAUAUGUUAUAUGUAUGUAUAUGCAAGAUAAUAAUCUUCUUGUAACCACUGACAGGCCUUUUUGUGAAUGAUGAUGGAAAAAGCAAGAACCUUGUCCAGGUUCCUCUCCAGGGAGCAGGGGUGGGUUGUGAUUCUUGAUUUCAUUCCUUUAGAUAUGAAGAGUUUUCACACAGAGGCAGCACGAAUUUGUCUCUCUCCUAGAGGGUGGGGAGAGUUGCUGGGUGGAUAUAACUGCAUCACAGCCUUUCUGGGUAAACUGGCCACUCCCUACUGAUUUGUUAUCAUGCUAAAUGUGUCUCCUCCCUUCCUUUCUGGAGCUUUUGCAGCUGUUCCUGGAAGGAGACCCAGUUGAAAGGGGUUGUUAUGGACCAGGAACAGCUGGGAUCUUUAAUGAUCUGUGAGCAGCUUACAGCAAAGUUCCAACACCCUGAGUAUCAGUCCCCAAAUCCUUGGUCUUUGCAUUCCAACACAAAGUAAAAAGGAUUGAGCAGGGUUUUGGUUUUGGUUGCAAGUAACAGAAACCCAACGCUAAUUAAUAAACGGGAAAGUGUGUCAGUGGAAAUGUAAGUAAGAAGAGAUUUCAUUUACUGGCCAAUUCAAAAGAUGACAAGCUUUAGGCGUGGCUCAGUCCAGUGGCUCAUGAUGUCUUCAGGACUCAGUGUUUCUCUGUUGUCAUCUCUUAGUUCUAUUAUUUUUUCUGUGUUGGUUCAUUAUGAGGUUUCCUUUAGAGGGUGGCAGAGAAAGCCACUAGUUGCUUCAAGUCUUUAUUUUACCAGCUCCACAAGUCCGACGGAAAGAGAAAACUGCUUUCCCAAAGGGUGUAAGAGGAUGAAAGGCAUGUCAUCAGCUGAAUUGCAUCAGGUGUCCAUCUUGGAAUCAAUCACGGUGCCUCUUAUUAGCAAAGCCUGAGUCAUAGGUGAGUCUAUACUUGGAUGGGGUAGUAAGGAAAUCCCAUGUUGAUUGCAUGGAUGGAAAGUGGGGGUGUUGUGGUUUCAUAAUGGCUUAUUAGGGUUCAAUAAUCAGAACACCAAAUAAUCCAUGCUGGGAGGUAAAAAUUGCAGAUAUUUUACUUUAUGCCCCAAACUAGACUUCAAAUCUGUGCUGCUCUUCCAAUCAUGAAUCCGCAGAACAGAGGAUAGAAAGUUCAGGUCAAUUCAAAUUUGACAAACACUUUCCGAGCACUUACUAUGUGCCAAUAUCCGUGGGAGGCCCUGGGAAACCAAAGAUGAAUGAAACACAAACUCUGAUGUCAGAGACCUCACAGUCUGGUGUUUAAGACGAUAAUAGUCUGGAUUAGAUUCUGGUGUGAUGAGAUGGAUUGUCUCAUAAAAAACAGAGGGAAGGGAUUAUUUAACUCUGAUGGGUGGCUGGGUGCUGAGAAGACCCUCAGAGGGUGUAACCUUUGAGUCUUAAGGAGGAUUAAGUUUAAAGGGGAUUUUGUUGGAGGAUAAGCAUCAAGGAAAGCAUUCCAGGAAGAGAGACGGGCAUAUGCAAAGGUAUAGUGUUGUGACCUCUGAUUAAAUAUGGAUGAGACAGGACAGGGAAAAACACACUUGUUAGAUUGUGGCAAAUGCCCAUGUGAAGUGAUUAAGUGACUGAAAUUGGGCAGAGGUGGUGUGCUGGUAGAUUCUAAGGUGACCCCAGUGAUCCAUGCCUUGUAAAAUCUUCUCCCCUGUGAGUGCUCCUUGGUGAGCAGGUGAUGUUAUAUUGGGAGAUUGACUAUAAGAAGGGGAGACUAUCUGUGUGGUCCUGGCCUAAUGACAUGAAUCCUUUAAGAGCAGAGCUUUCUCCAGCUGGUAGAAAAAGGGGAAGUAUGAGACUUAAAGGUGGAGGUGGCCCCAUGGAAAAGACCUAAGGGUAGCCUGCGGGAACUGAGAGAAAACCCCAACUGGCAGCCAGCAAGAAAACAGGGACCUUAAUCUUACGACCACAAGGAACUGGACUCUGCUACCAGAAUGAGCUGCAAGGGAGAUUCUUCCUCAGAAGCUUCAGAUAAGAACUCCACCUGGCUGACCUUUGAUUUUGGUUUUGUGAGAACUUUGGCAGAUAACCCAGGCAUGUGUCAUUUCACAUCUGCAUAAAAAGACAUGCUGAAGGAUGUUCCUUGCAGAAUGGUUAUAGAGAAAAAUGGGAAUAACCACGAUAUAAAGUAACAGGGAGCUUAUAGAACCUUGGGAACCAGGAACCCUUUAGGACCCUGUGAACUACAAGUCUGCUAUUUUAGGAAGUGGAUAAAAUGGCAUUUUGACAGAUCUGGAGGGUCUUGGAUCUACCUUUCAACAUUGGCAUUACUGAUAUUAGAGUACCACCACUCACUAGCUGUGGAGAUGUAGGAAGAUUACUUAACCACUCAGAGCCUUGGUUUCCUCAUUUGUUAUGUGAAGAUGACAAUAUCAGAUGACAGUGAGAUCUGAGAUGAAUUUAACUGCCUUCAGUAGUGCUGGCCUGCUCCUGAGAGAGAGAUGAUUGAGAGGGAGGAAGUAGAGAGGAGGAAGAAGCCUUUACUCACACUCCUUGAGGAGUGAUUCAGGUGGACAGCCUGAAUUACGGGAUUUAUUGGCAGCAAGUAAGUAUUGUCUGAGUGGAUUACUGCAAAAUGCUUUAGCUGGGGAUGGCUUUGAAAACCACUCAUCAAUUACAGAUGGUACCCAGUAUAGCAGCAGGAGUACCCUUGCGGGCUUUUGUUAUCUCCGACCUCUUCCUUCAUGGGUGACCGUUCUAACCCAAAGACCUCAACUGUUCAUCAAAAACCUGCCACUCAGAACUGCAUAUCAAUUAUUAAACAAUGUCCCAUGCAGGACAGUGACUUUAAAUUAUCUUGGAAAUGAUAAAGACCAACAUUUGUCUUUGUUAACAUGCUGAGUGAUUCUGUGGUCUCUAGUCACAGGUGAAAGGAUCAGAUUUGAGAUUUCUAGACACCAGAAUCACAUUAGGGUUAAGCAAAACUCCAUCUUUUCCCAGAGAAAAUUUAGCCAGAAAUGUUGCUUAUUUGAGAUGAGAAGUAAGAUGAAGUGUUCUAACAUGGCGGAGCUUGAUAUGCAAAUGAGCCCAUCUAGGGACAGUAGGGAUUGGUAAUGUGGGUCUGUGGAUGCCUGGAAGGCUCACAGAAAGACUUCAGGAAUUCCUGAGUCUCUUCAAAGUGUAAGCAAAAUUUUGUGUGUAUUUUCUUAUUUGCAUGAUAUGGCUUGGCUGUGUCCCCACCCAAACCUUAUCUCGAAUUGUAACUCCCACAAUUCCCACAUGUCGUGGAAGGAUCCUGGUGGGAUUCAUUAUGGGGGCAGGUCUUUCCAGUGCUGUUCUCAUGAUAGUGAAUGAGUCUCACAAUAUCUGAUGGUUUUAAA